GGGGAUGCCAGGCAUUGACGGUUAGCCCCGGUGAUUGUGUGCAAUGUCGAAAGUGAAUGUGAAUUCGUUAAAAUACAUUCAAAAUUUACGUGCAAAGAAUAACGUAAAAAGCCCAUACUUUUCGAAGUUGAGCUUCGCACCAGCUGUAGCGUAACCAUUCGCUCGCUCUGUGCGACAUCACUUUUCUUGAUGUCUGAUAUAGAAAAGUUGGUGUAAUAAACAUCAGGCUCUGUUUACCGGUACCGUAGUUGCCGAUAAAUGAAAUUCUUACUACUCGGUUUAUUUGGCUUUGGUUUUCUUUUUACCAAAUAGAUUUAAACCAAAAAGAAAACUACACAUUGUAGACCCAUAGUUACCACCUAACUCGGACGCGGGUUCAACUCCCGCCAUCUCCACGA
rnacentral:tmRNA from 1 species